CUGAGUUAUUCUUAUAACUAUGCAUUUUUUGGCGUUAAAACUCAUUUGCCAUUUAUUCUCAGUUUAUUGUAAAUAUAUUUAUAUCAACGGCGAUAUAUAUAACCUGGGACUAAUUACAGCAAAUUGCAUUAUGUGUGUAGGUAAAGGUAAUAUGUUUGGUUAGCUUGCUUGUUAGCUGGACCGUGCAGUGGCGGAUCCAGAAAUUUUCAUAAGUGGGGGCCCACUGACUGACCUAAG
rnacentral:lncRNA from 1 species